CAUACAAUUUUUAAGCAUAUAACUAAGUGAAGGAAAAAAAAUUACAAGGAUUCCCUUAGUAAUGAUGAGAAAAUUGGGAAUAUCCCAACAUUAAAAUUGGGUGGAAAAAUUGCUUGAAUUAUAGUAUGUAGAAGUAUCCUUAGUUGUUAUUUGGGUUGAAUUCCUUUGGAAGGGGGAAAUUGAGAGGGUUAUAGACACAUUGGGCUUGGACUUUGUUGCACCAUGAUGAGUUGUUGGAAAGUAAGAUUGUUUGGGAAUACAUUUGUAAUUGGGUGGUAAAUUCCAUUUAAGGCUAUAUAUGAGUGAGAGAUUGAUAAUGAAUUAGUAACAUGAAGGAAAUACAUAAAGGAUUUUGAAAAGAUAGUUAAAUAGGAAUUCAAUGAUGCAUCCUAGUUGGAUGAAGAAUGAAUUAAGUUGGUUCAUGAUUAGACUUGUGGUGCAAACCAAUGUAGGUUAUCACAUUGUGGCAAGUGCAAGUGGACUACCACCCCUUGUUUUUCUAUCACAAUGGUCAAUGAAUGAAGCUUGUGCCCAUGUUGCAGAUCAUAAUUAUUGCAUGCUUGUGGUGUUGGUUUGUAGGAUUUUCAUUCAACGAGUCUUGAAACACUGACCAAUGAGGCUGACCUAUGUGCAAGUCAAUGGAUUUGAGAACCCAUGAAGUGUAUGGAUGGUGUUUGACAAGAUCCCUCAUUGUAGGGUGCACUACCAACUGAACUUGAUAUUGUGCGAAGGGUUCGAGUGCGAUCACACCUAUUGGGACCCAAAAUGUUGGGAACUUUGCCUAAGAAGGGUUGAGCCAAAGGAAACUCUGUUGGAGACCCAUAACAUACUGAUGUGGAUUUUUUUUUAUUUUACUUGAAUAUAGGGGAAAAUAAUAUUUCUCCAAAAAUUCCUUUAGGAUAGAUGAUCUCAUGUGUGAGUUUUAUUUGGUGAAGUAGAUGAUUAGAGGCCCUGGGGGUAUAACACCCUCAACCUAUUCUCAAAAUUUCAAUAGGUAAGAUGGUAUGAUUUCCCCAUUGAACCAUGCCACAUAAUUAAUAGUUCCAAGUGGGCCAUUUUUGGUAAGUAGAACUAGCAAUGUGGGAUGAACCAAAUUUUCUAGUUACAAUGAAAAAUUAUGAACUAGCCUUUAUCCUAGAAAGGGUGUUGGUUGAUUAAGAUAACAAGACAUCACCAUGAAAGUCACAAUCUAUUAAGGAGCAUGUAAUGACUUACCCAUUGAAUCAACUAUCCCUAAAAAUAGAUGGUGUUGAAUUUAGCAACCUAUAUUUGACCUUUAGAGAAAUUGCUAGGCUUCAAUGAGUAGGAGGAUGUGGAGGUUAUUGAGAAACCUUUAACAUGAAAUUGGAUAGAUUGGGCCUUGAUGAAAAUCUUAGAAGUAGUAGAAAAUAUUCAAAUGAGAACUUUAAAUAUGAAGUGUGUAAAGGUUCCACGUGAACAACACUUAUGCAUGAUUUAGUCAACCCUAAACGAUAAAUAAGCCAUAUAUGAAGGGUGCACUCUAUGUGAACAUUGAAAGGGAAUUAGGUUAAUCUUCCCAAAUUGGGACUUGGUGGUAGAAAACAAUGUUUGGAAAUUUAGAUAUGUCAUCAUUAGUUAAUUUAUGUUGACCUUGGUUGCACAAUGGUUAACUAUAAUUGACUAUAGUUUUCUAUAA
rfam:Picea glauca, whole genome shotgun sequence.